rnacentral:rRNA from 1 species
GACGAACGCUGGCGGCGUGCCUAAUACAUGCAAGUUGAGCGCUGAAGGUUGGUACUUGUACCAACUGGAUGAGCAGCGAACGGGUGAGUAACGCGUGGGGAAUCUGCCUUUGAGCGGGGGACAACAUUUGGAAACGACUGCUAAUACCGCAUAAAAACUUUAAACACAAGUUUUAAGUUUGAAAGAUGCAAUUGCAUCACUCAAAGAUGAUCCCGCGUUGUAUUAGCUAGUUGGUGAGGUAAAGGCUCACCAAGGCGAUGAUACAUAGCCGACCUGAGAGGGUGAUCGGCCACAUUGGGAAUGAGACACGGCCCAAACUCCUACGGGAGGCAGCAGUAGGGAAUCUUCGGCAAUGGACGAAAGGCUGACCGAGCAACGCCGCGUGAGGGAAGAAGGUUUUCGGAGCGUAAAACUCUGUUGGUAGAGAAGAAAGUUGGGGAGAGUGGAAAGCUCAUCAAGUGACGGUAACUACCCAGAAAGGGACGGCUAACUACGUG